GUAAUUCAUGCGUCAAAAUGGCAGCGUUGGAUGCUAAAUCCAAAUGAACAAGAAAAGAAACGCUACCUUAAUUGACGCUCACAUUAUUUUUCACUAUACUAUUCGAUAAUAGUUCAUACAUCCAGAGUUGUUCCGCUCCAUACAACUCUAAAAUGGCUAGCCCGCUGCUGAAUUUCAGGACCCAUGUCGACCAGUCAUGCCGAUAUUCAGAAGAAUUUGUCAACAUUUAUUACGACUGCAUGGAUAAGAAAAGAAGGACCUACAUUCCAGGUGACGACCUCAUGAAGCUGACAAGCCAAGAGUGUGCAAAGCUGUCAUCAAGGCAAAACGGGGCUACUUUGAAGAAU